rnacentral:rRNA from 1 species
UACAGAGACUGCAAGCGUUAUUCGGAUUCACUGGGCGUAAAGGGUGCGUAGGCGGUCUGUUGCGUCCGCUGUGAAAACUCGGGGCUUAACCCCGAGCCUGCAGUGGAUACGGGCAGACUAGAGGUAGGUAGGGGAGAAUGGAAUUCCCGGUGUAGCGGUGAAAUGCGCAGAUAUCGGGAGGAACACCGGUGGCGAAGGCGGUUCUCUGGGCCUUACCUGACGCUGAGGAGCGAAAGCGUGGGGAGCGAACAGG